GUCUUUGUAGUAUAUUGAUUACGCUGGUCUUGUAAACCAUAAAAGGAGAGCCACACUCUCCCUAAGACU
rnacentral:tRNA from 3 species